GUCUGGCGUCGCGACCCACAGGGUCACCGUCCACGACCGGGAGCGCGGGGACGUCCACGAGUUCGUCGUGCCCCAGGAUUGGUGCCCACCUCGCUGUUUCUUGCUUUCCUGCAAUGGGAAGGGAGGACCCACUUCGUUCUUGCCCUUAUCCAACAAAUCCUUGAGGUGAGAUGCUUGACAACUGCAAGAACCGACGGCCGUUGCAAAAUUGCAGUGCAACUUCGUGGCCAAAGAGAAACCUAUGAAUAAUUUCAUUGCUCUUAUAUUUCAGUUCUGUGGAGUUUGGCAGCACUUAGUUUAGAUCUUAAGUACUGUAGCUUUUAUUCUGAAAACAUGGUUCAGUUACAUGGAUGCCAGCAACGGAGGCAUUCACAUAGUAGUCAGAUUGAUAAGUACCUUGCUAGACUGAGAGGUUCAGGUUAGCAUUGAUUCAGAAUCGUGCCUGGAAAUGAUUAACCUUAGUACAUAACUCAAUUAGAGGCAGAAAAUCUGUCCAAUUUUGUUUUGUGGGUGCCAUUAAUUAUUGUUUCUGUUGCUAGACUGAGUGGCUUAUGUGGGCUGUCCAGCUGCAAGUCAUUCAGGCUGAAUUGCUGUUGGACAAAGAAGGAGGCGCCUAUUUCAAUACUCCCGAAGAAGACCCUUCUGUCCUUUUGGGUGUUAAAGAAGACUAUGAUGGUGCAGAACCCUCUGGAAACUCGAUGGCAGCGAUUAACAUGAUCAGAUUGCCCAGUAUAUUUGAUGCCGCAAAAUCUGAAGGCUACAAACGUAAUGUUGAACAUUUUCUACGUUUAUAUGCACUACACUACAACAGUGGUUUGGUUCCAGAACGUGAGGUUUACACUUCACAGUAGCAUAAAAGAUUAUGCAUUUUGAUUUAUGUAGCUUGAAGUGUGAUUUCAAUAGAUAGAAAUGGUGCUUGUGGGGGACAAAAGGAUCUGCAGAAUUUCGAAACAUUAUUGCAGCUGCUUUCUCAUCAUAUGAUCAAAGAGAACAGUGAUGCAGAUAGACCCUAGGAACAUGGCAUUCUGGGAGAGAAACAAUGCAAACAUCGCUAGAUGGCACGGGGCAGCCCAGGUUCGCUCCGGGAGUUUCAAGUGCAGCCCUCCCGUGACUUCUCCAGGUUCGCUCCGGGAGCUGCUCAACUAGACGGUCACUGCUGCCAGGUCAUCUGUCUGAGGCUUUGUUCCUGCUGGUUCGGCUAGAUGCUACUGACGCUCGCUAAAGACCUUGAACCCUUUUCUGUUUGCAGUUGAUGUAAAUAGAUAUUCCCAAUAAAGGGUAGGCUAGUUUCGUAUGAUACAGAGAAGUCUUCUGUUCAAGCACUUCAUGUCUUUUUUUUUCUAUACGUGUAAACUUAGAGCAUGUGCUACAAACUUGAGAUGUUCUGACCUUGUUACAUAUUAAGCAUAAAAGGAUAAAAUGAUCGAAUGGUUGCAUGAAAA